rnacentral:rRNA from 1 species
CAUGACACUAUCCUGGACACAUCUGGUUAGGUUUGAUUUUAGAAGUUAAGCAGGGUUUGGUCUGGUUGAUAUAUGGAUAAGAGAUCCUCAGAGAAUCCCAGGGGUGUCAAGA